GGGUUCGUAGCUCAGUUGGUAGAGCAGCUCGCUCUUAACGAGACGGUCGUGGGUUCGAAUCCCACCGAGCCCA
rnacentral:tRNA from 1 species